CUGAGUACGGCGGAACACGUGAAAUUCCGUCGGAAUCCGGGAGGACCAUCUCCCAAGGCUAAAUACUCCCUAGUGACCGAUAGUGAACCAGUACCGUGAGGGAAAGGUGAAAAGCACCCCGGAAGGGGAGUGAAACAGUUCCUGAAACCGUGUGCCUACAAGUAGUUAGAGCCCGUUAAUGGGUGAUAGCGUGCCUUUUGUAGAAUGAACCGGCGAGUUACGAUUUGUUGCAAGGUUAAGCGGAAAAAGCGGAGCCGUAGCGAAAGCGAGUCUGAAUAGGGCGCAUAAGUAACAGGUCGUAGACCCGAAACCAGGUGAUCUACCCAUGUCCAGGAUGAAGGUAAGGUAAUACUUACUGGAGGUCCGAACCCACGCACGUUGAAAAGUGCGGGGAUGAGGUGUGGGUAGCGGAGAAAUUCCAAUCGAACUUGGAGAUAGCUGGUUCUCUCCGAAAUAGCUUUAGGGCUAGCCUCGAGGUAAAGAGUCAUGGAGGUAGAGCACUGUUUGGACUAGGGGCCCUUCUCGGGUUACCGAAUUCAGAUAAACUCCGAAUGCCAUGUACUUAUACUCGGGAGUCAGACUGCGAGUGAUAAGAUCCGUAGUCGAAAGGGAAACAGCCCAGACCACCAGUUAAGGUCCCCAAAUAUA
rnacentral:rRNA from 1 species